rnacentral:rRNA from 1 species
UACGAAGGGGGCUAGCGUUGCUCGGAAUUACUGGGCGUAAAGGGCGCGUAGGCGGGUCGUUAAGUUAGAGGUGAAAGCCCAGGGCUCAACCCUGGAAUUGCCUUUAAUACUGGCGGCCUCGAGUAUGGCAGAGGUGUGUGGAACUCCGAGUGUAGAGGUGAAAUUCGUAGAUAUUCGGAAGAACACCAGUGGCGAAGGCGACACACUGGGCCAUUACUGACGCUGAGGCGCGAAAGCGUGGGGAGCAAACAGG